AUUGAACGCUGGCGGCAGGCCUAACACCUGCAAGUCGAACGAGUGGCGGACGGGUGAGUAAUGUCUGGGAAACUGCCUGAUGGAGGUGGAUAACUACUGGAAACGGUCGCUAAUACCGCAUACCAUCGGAUGUGCCCCGAUGGGAUUAGCUAGUAGGUGGGGUAAAGGCUCACCUAGGCGACGAUCCCUAGCUGGUCGGAGAGGAUGACCAGCCACACGGGAACUGAGACACGGUCCAGACUCCUACGGGAGGCAGCAGUGGGGAAUAUUGCACAAUGGGCGCAAGCCUGAUGCAGCCAUGCCGCGUGUAUGAAGAAGGCCUGCGGGUUGUAAAGUACUUUCAGCGGGGAGGCGUUACCCGCAGAAGAAGCACCGGCUAACUCCGGGCCAGCAGCCGCGGUAAUUC
rnacentral:rRNA from 1 species